AUGGGGUACACAUGCUUUAAAUGUGAAUUACUCAUACAAGGCGACUUAAAAAGCCUUUUCACCCAUCUGAGGGCGGUACAUAGCGUAACAUCAGCAUGUACACAUUUUAAGUGUGUUGAGCAGGGAUGCAGAAGGACAUUUUAUUAUAUGAGGUCAUACAAACGACAUCUUUUGAAGCAUGAGCUGUGUAGUAACAAAUAUGGGCCUAGUGCUCCUAUAAUUGAACAGCUCAGAACUCCAGCAGAGCAUGCUGUUUUGGACGCAGAUGAAGAUGGUCCAGAUGAUAAUUGGGAUGACCUUGGCCCUGAAGGGGUCAUGAACAGGGUUGCCACAUUCUUGGCCUGUUUGAGGUCCAGGUCAUCUCAGACGUUUAGUUCUGUCAAUUAUGUGGUUCAGGAAACCUCAUCUUUGAUUCAUGACAUUGUGACAGAUCUGAAAAACAAAACUAUGUCUGUUUUUCAGAGAUUAGGACAGGAAGAUCUUCCAGAGGUAAAAGUCCUCAGAGAGGAAUUUAAUAUUGCCUCUGAACCAUUUAAAGAUCUUGAAUCUCAUGUCAAGCAAAUGAAAUACUUCACUCAGUCAGGCAACUUUAUUCUGCCAGUUGAAGAAGUGUUUCCUGGAGUGUCGUAUAUGUCACAAAGAGCAUCAGACACAGGCAUAGUUAGACAGGUUGCAGUGCAGGACACAUUUCAAAGAGUGCCACUCAGGCCCCUUUUGCGGAAAAUUCUCGAAUGCCCUGGUGUACUUCAGGCAGCACUCCAGUGGCAACAAAAGAACAAUACAGAUGUCCUUCAGGAUUUUUGUGAUGGCAAGAUUUGGCAUGCACAUGCUCUUUUUUCUAAAGAGUUUACUAUUCCCUUGGUUCUGUACAAUGAUGACUGUGAGACAGUGAACCCUUUAGGAUCCAAAACUGUCAUGCACAAACUUGGCUUCAUUUACUUCACUAUCAAAAGCUUGCCUCCAGAGUUGCUGUCAAGUUUGAAUUCACAUUUUCUGUUGGCAGUGUAUAAAACCGAUGAUGCCAAGACUUAUGGUCUUAAUGCAGUCCUGAAGUCCAUCAUUGACGAGCUAAAGUCUCUAGAACUGGAAGGCAUCUCCAUUGAUAUGCCUCAUUUUCAAGGUACAGUAAAGUUUGCAGUUGCUCAGUUGUGUGGAGACAACUUGGGAUUGAAUGGCAUUCUUGGCUAUACACAGAGCUUUUCAGGCAAUUAUGUAUGCAGGUGGUGCAAGGUGCACAGAGAUGUGUUACGGGUACAGACAAGUGAAGAUCAGUCUCUACUUCGUGACACAGACAAUUACCAAGCUGAUCUCCAUGAAAAUAAUCCAUCAGGUACAGGUGUGAGAGAGGAAAGCGUUCUAAAUGACUUGCACUUCUUUCAUGUGACUGAUAAUGUUGCGCCUGACAUCAUGCACGACAUUUUGGAAGGAGUAGGGUCUGUUGAGGUUAAGCUUAUUUUUAAAUUCUCUAAUUGA
ensembl:lncRNA